rnacentral:rRNA from 1 species
CGAACGCUGGCGGCGUGCUUACCACAUGCAAGUCGAACGGAAAGGCCCCUUUGGGGGUCCUCGAGUGGCGAACGGGUGAGUAACACGUGAGUAACCUGCCCUUGACUUCGGGAUAACUUCAGGAAACUGGGGCUAAUACCGGAUAGGAAUCCUUGCUGCAUGGUGGGGGUUGGAAAGCUUCGGCGGUUUUGGAUGGACUCGCGGCUUAUCAGCUUGUUGGUGGGGUAGUGGCUUACCAAGGCUUUGACGGGUAGCCGGCCUGAGAGGGCGACCGGCCACAUUGGGACUGAGAUACGGCCCAGACUCCUACGGGAGGCAGCAGUGGGGAAUAUUGCACAAUGGGCGGAAGCCUGAUGCAGCAACGCCGCGUGCGGGAUGACGGCCUUCGGGUUGUAAACCGCUUUCAGCAGGGGCGAAGCUUGUGGUGACGGUACCUGCAGAAGAAGCACCGGCUAACUACGUG